UUCAGACAAAGGCAAAACCACCGAAAGGUGGCGACGCAAAGUCACCGGUCUACAGGGUCAUCAGCCCCAGGACAGCGGGACCACCGGA
rnacentral:ncRNA from 1 species